rnacentral:rRNA from 1 species
UACGAAGGGGGCUAGCGUUGCUCGGAAUCACUGGGCGUAAAGCGCACGUAGGCGGGUCGUUAAGUCAGGGGUGAAAUCCUGGAGCUCAACUCCAGAACUGCCCUUGAUACUGGCGAUCUCGAGUUCGGGAGAGGUGAGUGGAACUGCGAGUGUAGAGGUGAAAUUCGUAGAGUAUUCGCAAGAACACCAGUGGCGAAGGCGGCUCACUGGCCCGGACUGACGCUGAGGUGCGAAGCGUGGGAGCAACAGG